GACGAACGCUGGCGGCGUGCUUAACACAUGCAAGUCGAACGGGACGGCCCUGCUUUUGUGGGGUGCUCGAGUGGCGACCGGGUGAGUAACACUUGUGUACCCUACCCUUGCCGUUGGGAUAACUUCAUGACACUGAGGCUCAUACCGGAUAGGAGCUCCUGCUGCAUGGUGGGGGUUGGAAAGUUUCGGCGGUUGGGGAUGGAAUCGCGGCUUAUCAGAUUGUUGGUGGGGUAGUGGCUUACCAAGGCUUGGACGGGUAGCCGACCUGAGAGGGGGACCGGCCAAAUUGGGACUGAGAUACGGCACAGACUACAACGGGACGCAGGAGAGGGGGGUAGUGCACAAGGGGAGGAAGCCUGAUGUAGCAACGCCGCGUGCGGGAUGACGGCCAGGGGGUAGUAAACCGAUGUCGCCUGUGACGAGGAGAGAGUGACGGUACCGGGUGAAGAAGCACCGGCUAACUACGUG
rnacentral:rRNA from 1 species